UACGUAGGUGGCGAGCGUUGUCCGGAAUUACUGGGUGUAAAGGGCGAGUAGGCGGGCCGGCAAGUCAGAUGUGAAAUACAGGGGCUUAACUCCUGGGCUGCAUUUGAAACUGCUGGUCUUGAGUGAUGGAGAGGCAGGCGGAAUUCCCAGUGUAGCGGUGAAAUGCGUAGAUAUUGGGAGGAACACCAGUGGCGAAGGCGGCCUGCUGGACAUUAACUGACGCUGAGGCGCGAAAGCGUGGGGAGCAA
rnacentral:rRNA from 1 species